rnacentral:rRNA from 1 species
AACAACGGAUCUCUUGGUUCUGGCAUCGAUGAAGAACGCAGCGAAAUGCGAUAAGUAAUGUGAAUUGCAGAAUUCAGUGAAUCAUCGAAUCUUUGAACGCACAUUGCGCCCGGCAGUAAUCUGCCGGGCAUGCCUGUCCGAGCGUCA